rnacentral:misc_RNA from 1 species
GAUGAAGAACGUAGCGAAAUGCGAUAAGUAGUGUGAAUUGCAGAAUUCAGUGAAUCAUCGAAUCUUUGAACGCACACUGCGCCCUUUGGUAUUCCUUAGGGCAUGCCUGUUCGAGCGUCAUUUAAACCUUCAAGCUCAGCUUGGUGUUGGGUGACUGUCCGCUUCACCGCGGACUCGCCUCAAAAUUAUUGGCGGCCGGUACAUUGGCUUCGAGCGCAGCAGAAACGCGAACUCGGGCCCGUCGUAUUGGCUCCCAGAAGCUAUCUUCACAAUUUUGACCUCGGAUCAGGUAGGGAUACCCGCUGAACUUAAGCAUAUCAAUAAGCGGAGGA